rnacentral:rRNA from 1 species
GGACUACUGGGGUAUCUAAUCCUGUUCGCUCCCCACGCUUUCGCUCCUCAGCGUCAGUUCCGGCCCAGACCACCGCCUUCGCCACCGGUGUUCCUCCUGAUAUCUGCGCAUUUCACCGCUACACCAGGAAUUCCGUGAUCCCCUACCGGACUCUAGCCAUGGCAGUAUCAAGUGGCAUCUCCAAGUUGAGCCUGGAGGUUUCACAUUUGACUUACCAAGCCGCCUACGAGCUCUUUACGCCCAAUGAAUCCGGACAACGCUCGCCCCCUACGUAUUACCGCGGCUGCUGGCAC